rnacentral:rRNA from 1 species
UACAGAGGGUGCAAGCGUUGUUCGGAAUUAUUGGGCGUAAAGGGCGCGUAGGCGGUGCGGUAAGUCUGUAGUGAAAUCUCUGGGCUCAACUCAGAGUCUGCUAUAGAAACUGCCGUGCUUGAGUGUGGGAGAGGUGAGUGAAAUUCCCGGUGUAGCGGUGACAUGCGUAGAUAUCGGGAGGAACACCUGUGGCGAAAGCGGCUCACUGGACCACAACUGACGCUGAGGCGCGAAAGCUAGGGGAGCAAACAGG